CUCUUUCAGGACAGUUUCUAAUUACAUGGUGAGAAGGGCGUCCACUCCAUGGAAGGGCAAGUAUUCAUGUGAGAAUUAUGGCCUCUUUUAAUGUGAAAGCUUUGAUGACGAACAGGGGCUUCGUUUUAUACCCUACUGUAGCCCUGCUGCUUAAAAGAAUACUUGGCGGCCAGGUGCGGUGGCUCAAGCCUGUAAUCCCAACACUUUGGGAGGCGGAGGCGGGCGGAUCACGAGGUCAAGAGAUCGAGACGACCAUCCUGGCCAACAUGGUGAAACCCCGUCUCUACUAAAAAUACAAAGAUUAGCCAGGCAUGGUGGUGUGCACCUGUAAUCCCAGCUACUCUGAAGACUGAGGCAGGAGAACCACCUGAACCAGGGAGGCUGAGGUUGCAGUGAG
rnacentral:lncRNA from 10 species